CCUACGGGGGGCAGCAGUGAGGAAUAUUGGUCAAUGGACGAGAGUCUGAACCAGCCAAGUAGCGUGAAGGAUGACUGCCCUAGGGGUUGUAAACUUCUUUUAUAUGGGAGUAAAAUGUUCCACGUGUGGGAUUUUGUAUGUACCAUAUGAAUGAGGAUCGGCUAACUCCGUGCCAGCAGCCGCGGUAAUACGGAGGAUCCGCGCGUUGUCCGGAUUUAUUGGGUUUAUAGGGAGCGUAGGUGGUUUGUUAAGUCAGUUGUGAAAGUUUGCGGCUCAACCGGAAAAUUGCAGUUGAAACUGGCAGACUUGAGUACAGUAGAGGUGAGUGGAAUUCGUGGUGUAGCGGUGAAAUGCGUAGAUAUCACGAAGAACUCC
rnacentral:rRNA from 1 species